GAUGAACGCUAGCGGAAGGCAUAAUACAUGCAAGUCGAACGGAUGUAGCAAUACAUUAGUGGCGCACGGGUGCGUAACGCGUACGCAACCUACCUUCAUCAGGGGGAUAACUACCCGAAAGGGUGGCUAACACCGCAUAAUACUAUUGAGUGGCAUCACUUGAUAUUUAAAUCUGAGGAGGAUGAAGAUGGGCAUGCGUCUGAUUAGCUAGUUGGUGUGGUAACGGCGCACCAAGGCGACGAUCAGUAGGGGAACUGAGAGGUUGGUCCCCCACACUGGCACUGAGAGACGGGCCAGACUCCUACGGGAGGCAGCAGUAGGGAAUAUUGGUCAAUGGUGGGAACACUGAACCAGCCAUUCCGCGUGCAGGAAGAAGGGUCUCUGACUUGUAAACUGCUUUAGCAAGGGAAGAAAAAGCUCAUGCGUGAGAAAUUGACGGUACCUUGAGAAUAAGCACCGGCUAACUACGUGCCAGCCGCCGCGGUAAUAC
rnacentral:rRNA from 1 species